UGGAAAAUUACUCUAAAUAUAUGUGCUGUAGAACCUUCAGGGGAGUGGAUGUGAAAGGUAUCUGGAGUUUCUUCAACCCCAGGAAACAGAACAACAUGCUCACUCCUCUGCAGACGCUCUACUGAGAGCAAUUGAGGCUGUAUCUAUAAGAGCUGAGGAAACUCCCUUUCUGUCCUUGGAAGUUUUCAGGAUGAAGAGGAACUCUUGUAAGGGACAAGUGACAGCUGACAGCCUGCCAUCUUCACAUGCACUCAGCCAUGCUGAAGUGAAGGCAGCUGAUGAACCAGAAGACCAGCAUGUCUGAGCAAGGAAAGAUUCACUGUGCAGAUGCCCUGCAUAGCUCCUGUGACUGCAGGCAGGUCAUUGGAAGAGGGAAGCAAGGACCUGGUGAAUUCCAUGAUGAGUGUUCUGGAACUCUGGAAGGGAAUCAGAAAGCCGGGGCUUUAAAAAGGACACCCACACAGAACAGGAAAGCUAAGACCAGAGCUGGCUCCACCUGCUACCAAGGAAAGGAAGACACUAGCCGUGAUGUCUUUUUUCUCCAGCAGCUCAGCAGCAGGAAACAGCAUCGCUGCCCCCUAUCCUAGACCCGGGAGGAGCUGGUGUUCUUUAGCUGUGCCCUUACAAUGCCCUCUUGGUGCCUGCCUCUCUGUCCAUGGCUACGGAAAUGCCAGUGCCUAUAUUUGUAUGAAAUAUGUGAAUGCAGUGGUUUGGAUGAGUUGACCCACAGUCAUGUCCCAGUUAUUACAUAGCUAGGUGUGUUAGACACCUUGUAUUUGUAGUAAUGUCUAUUCUGUUAUACAUGCCAGUGCUUCUCCAGAGUCUAUAACUGUUGAAUAUACGGGAUCAUUGUUCUCAGUUAUCACCUGAGCACCCAAAUUCUUAGACAAUAAACCUGUGGUGGUCUCCAAAAUUAACAUGGAGAAGAGAAGAGA